CGGUACAGACGGGGGCAGCGGCGGCGGCGGCGGCGGCGGCGGCUGCACCGGCGGCGGCACCACACAAACAAGGACGCUGAUUGGGCAGCUGCCAAGCGCCUCGGCUCCGCCUUCCCCACACGCCACGACGCCCAUUGGGCGACCUAAGCCGGCCUCCCCGCCCUCUUCUUCUCGGCCACACCAAUAGGAGACGGGAUGCUGGGACUACACCCCACCCUUGAGGAGUGAGUGGCUGGAGAAGUGAUGACUGGCCUCUUUUAGGGCCCUGGAAAAGCAUCUACCAAUGCUUGGCACAGGAUGGGGAAGGGUCGGUCCCGUGGCUUGAAGCUUCCAGAAUUUAGAGACAGUACUUCUCUCAUCAGCCACUGUUCUCCACUCCCAGGAAUUUGCAUAAAGCCUCACAUAAGUUACUUCCUCCGCUGACACUCCUGCCCGCCGGGGAAGGACCCAAGGCAUUUGUUUUGUUGGCUAAUUCCCUUUGGUAAUUAUUGUUUCCGGAAUUUAUUUCAUCAUACAGGAAAGGGAGAAUUCCGAGGCGGCCCGUCUCCCUGUUGCCCACGUGCAGGGAGCGCCUCAGUCCUCGCCCCUGUCUUCCUGGCGCUGUCCCCAGGCUGGGACCCUGGCUGGAAGAGUAGGAACCGGGGCUAGAGCAGCUGAAGAGGCCUAGGACCACUGCCAGGGCGCCCAGGGCGAUGAGAGGGCCAACACCAACUACCAGGGAGAGGGCUGUCCUAUGGGGCGGUGCUGGAGAAGCCGAGAGGGAAAGGAGGCAGGGAUGAGCUCAAGGCCCCCGGAGAAUGGAGCCUUUGUGUGGGAGCUCCCGGGGCCCCAGGGGACCGGCACCAGACCUGGUCCCGGAAAGCCGGCCACGCCAGAGGCUGCAAAGGGAUGGAGAAGCAGAAAGGAGGAUGUGCAGUCGGGGAAAAGGAAAAGGUAUCCCCCACCGCUGUCCCAGAUCCAGGAAACAAGACGCAGAAGGAAAAAGACAGAAGCAGCUUUUACUAUAUUUACAUCCAACAAAACUUUGCAAGGAACGACCCUUAUUGCACGGUCCGGGCCCUGGGCGGGAAGGACUGGACUGGACGGGGCUUUAGUUCUUCCUGAGGGGGGUCUGGGGCUCCUCUAGAUGGCCCCUGCCUCUUCCGCAGCUACAAGCCACUGAACCAUGGUGCCCCGUGUCCCUUCUCUUUCUCACCAUCCCUAAGAGCCUCCUAAGCAAGGGGCUAUGGCUCCAAAAUAAAUAACUUAAAAUACAAACA